GUCAAGUCAUCAUGGCCCUUACGGCCUGGGCUACACACGUGCUACAAUGGAAAGUACAGAGGGCCGCAAUGCCGCAAGGUGGAGCAAAUCCCAGAAAACUUUUCGUAGUCCGGAUCGGAGUCUGCAACUCGACUCCGUGAAGUCGGAAUCGCUAGUAAUCGCUGGUCAGCAACACAGCGGUGAAUCCGUUCCCGGGCCUU
rnacentral:rRNA from 1 species